CGGGGUGCGGACUUCGGUCCGUUACCUAGCGGCGAACGGUUGAGUAACACGUAGGCAACCUGCCCCAGAGUGGGGGAUAACUCGCGGAAACGCGGGCUAAUACCGCAUGUGGCCGAGGGACGCAUGUCCCUUGUGCUAAAGGAGCAACCCGCUCUGGGAGGGGCCUGCGGCCUAUCAGCUUGUUGGUGAGGUAACGGCUCACCAAGGCGACGACGGGUAGCUGGUCUGAGAGGAUGAUCAGCCAGACAGGGACUGAGACACGGCCCUGACUCCUUUGGGGGGCAGCAAUGAGGGAUAUUGCACAAUGGGCGAAAGCCUGAUGCAGCGACGCCGCGUGGGCGACGAAGUCUUUCGGGAUGUAAGGCCCUUUUCUGGGGGACGAACCUGACGGUACCCCAGGAAGAAGCCCCGGCUAACUACGUGCCAGCAGCCGCGGUAAUACGUAGGGGGCGAGCGUUGUCCGGAUUUACUGGGCGUAAAGCGCGUGUAGGCGGACUGCCAAGUCCGGGGUGAAAGGCGGGGGCUCAACCCCCGAACUGCGCCGGAAACUGGCAGACUUGAGUGUCGGAGAGGGGAGUGGAAUUCUCGGUGUAGCGGUGAAAUGCGUAGAGAUCGAGAGGAACACCCGUGGCAAAGGCGGCUCCCUGGCCGAACACUGACGCUGANACGCGAAAGCGCGGGGAGCGAACGGGAUUAGAUACCCCGGUAGUCCGCGCCGUAAACGAUGGUCACUAGGUGUACGCGGUAUCGACCCCGCGUGUGCCGCAGCUAACGCAAUAAGUGACCCGCCUGGGGAGUACGGCCGC
rnacentral:rRNA from 1 species